UGAGGAAUAUUGGGCAAUGCCCGCAAGGGUGACCCAGCAACGCCGCGUGGAGGAUGAAUGUCGUAAGAUUGUAAACUCCUGUUAGAGGGGAAGAAUAGUACCGGUUGGACCGGUAUAUGACUGUACCCUCAGAGAAAGCCCCGGCUAACUACGUGCCAGCAGCCGCGGUAAUACGUAGGGGGCAAGCGUUGUCCGGAUUUACUGGGUGUAAAGGGCGCGCAGGCGGGAUAGAAAGUCAGUGGUGAAAUCCUACAGCUUAACUGUAGAACUGCCUUUGAUACUUUUAUUCUUUAGUUCGGGAGAGAGAGACGGAAUUCCUGGUGUAGUGGUGAAAUACGUAGAUAUCUGGAAGAACACCAGUUGCGAAGGCGGUCUCUUGGUCCGACACUGACGCUGAGGCGCGAAAGCGUGGGGAGCAAACA
rnacentral:rRNA from 1 species